rnacentral:rRNA from 1 species
CAGUAGCCGCGGGAAUACGUAGGUGGCAAGCGUUGUCCGGAAUUACUGGGCGUAAAGGGCUCGCAGGCGGUUUCUUAAGUCCGAUGUGAAAGCCCCCGGCUCAACCGGGGAGGGUCAUUGGAAACUGGGAAACUUGAGUGCAGAAGAGGAGAGUGGAAUUCCACGUGUAGCGGUGAAAUGCGUAGAGAUGUGGAGGAACACCAGUGGCGAAGGCGACCCUCUGGUCUGUAACUGACGCUGAGGAGCGAAAGCGUGGGGAGCGAACAGGAUUAGAUACCCCCGUAGUCCCUGUCUCUUAUAC